rnacentral:rRNA from 1 species
UACGUAGGGACCAAGCGUUGUCCGGAAUCAUUGGGCGUAAAGAGCGUGUAGGCGGCUUGUUAAGUCUUGCGUGAAAUCUCGGGGCUCAACCCCGAGCGGUCGUGAGAAACUGGCAGGCUAGAGUGCGGGAGAGGAGAGUGGAAUUCCUGGUGUAGCGGUGAAAUGCGUAGAUAUCAGGAGGAACACCGGUGGCGAAGGCGGCUCUCUGGACGGUGACUGACGCUGAGACGCGAAAGCGUGGGGAGCAAACAGG